AGAGUUUGAUCAUGGCUCAGAACGAACGCUGGCGGCAGGCCUCAAACAUGCAAGUCUAGGGGGUAGCAAUACCACCGGCGGACGGGUGCGUAACACGUGGGAAUAUACCUUUUGGUUCGGAACAACGCAGGGAAACUUGCGCUAAUACCGAAUGUGCCCUUACGGGGAAAGAUUUAUCGCCAAAGGAUUAGCCCGCGUCCGAUUAGCUAGUUGGUGAGGUAAUGGCUCACCAAGGCUCCGAUCGGUAGCUGUUCUGAGAGGAAGAUCAGCCACACUGGGACUGAGACACGGCCCAGACUCCUACGGGAGGCAGCAGUUGGGAAUCUUGGACAAUGGGGGAAACCCUGAUCCAGCCAUGCCGCGUGAGUGAUGAAGGCCUUCGGGUUGUAAAACUCUUUCGACGGGGACGAUAAUGACGGUACCCGUAGAAGAAGCUCCGGCUAACUUCGUGCCAGCAGCCGCGGUAAUACGAAGGGGGCUAGCGUUGUUCGGAAUUACUGGGCGUAAAGCGCGCGCAGGUGGUCUUUCAAGUCAGUGGUGAAAGCCCGGAGCUCAACUCCGGAAAUGCCAUUGAAACUGUGAGACUUGAGGACGAGAGAGGUGAGUGGAAUUCCCAGUGUAGAGGUGAAAUUCGUAGAUAUUGGGAAGAACACCGGUGGCGAAGGCGGCUCACUGGCUCGUAUCUGACGCUCAGGCGCGACAGCGUGGGGAUCAAACAGGAUUAGAUACCCUAGUAGUCC
rnacentral:rRNA from 1 species